rnacentral:sRNA from 1 species
CAGCAGAAGCUCGCUAACCAUUGUGCACGUUACCUAUACCGUUGCUUCGGCGGGCGGCCCCGGGGUUUACCCCCCGGGCGCCCCUGGGCCCCACCGCGGGCGCCCGCCGGAGGUCACCAAACUCUUGAUAAUUUUAUGGCCUCUCUGAGUCUUCUGUACUGAAUAAGUCAAAACUUUCAACAACGGAUCUCUUGGUUCUGGCAUCGAUGAAGAACGCAGCGAAAUGCGAUAAGUAAUGUGAAUUGCAGAAUUCAGUGAAUCAUCGAAUCUUUGAACGCACAUUGCGCCCGCCAGCAUUCUGGCGGGCAUGCCUGUUCGAGCGUCAUUUCAACCAUCAAGCCCCCGGGCUUGUGUUGGGGACCUGCGGCUGCCGCAGGCCCUGAAAAGCAGUGGCGGGCUCGCUGUCGCACCGAGCGUAGUAGCAUACAUCUCGCUCUGGUCGCGCCGCGGGUUCCGGCCGUUAAACCACCUUUUAACCCAAGGUUGACCUCGGAUCAGGUAGGAAGACCCGCUGAACUUAAGCAUAUCAAUAGGCCGGAAGGAAAACCAAAAAACAAAACCCC